GAGGGGAGAAUUAAAGUAAAAGGAGAAGAUAGGUUAAGAAAUAAAAGAGGGGAGAGAAUAAGGGUUUUUAAAAGGGUCGAAGAGCUAGCUUCAUGCUUCGGGGGGGGGGGAAAGACAAAGAUUUGGGGUAUUUUUUUUUUCAUAGGGUUUUGGGAAGACUGAGGCAAUCAUUGCUGAAGUAAGUGUUAUAUUGGUGAAUCGGGGUUUUAAUGAAGUGGAUGUAAUUACUCUUGACUGUUUUGUGA
rnacentral:lncRNA from 1 species